CACACAAUUACGGGAAAGACCACGCGAACAAGCACGGAAAGAUGGUCCGACGGAGCUUCCCGCUUUCGCCGCUGGGAUGGCGCAGACAACAUCGGCACUGAUGGACCAGCGUCCUCGCUCCCUCC
rnacentral:lncRNA from 1 species